rnacentral:rRNA from 1 species
UGGGGAAUUUUGCACAAUGGGGGAAACCCUGAUGCAGCGACGCCGCGUGAUUUAGAAGGCCUUCGGGUUGUAAAAAUCUUUUCUAUGGGAAGAAAAUGACAGUACCAUAGGAAUAAGGACCGGCUAAUUACGUGCCAGCAGCCGCGGUAAUACGUAAGGUCCGAGCGUUGUCCGGAAUCAUUGGGCGUAAAGGGUACGUAGGCGGGUAAGCAAGUUAGAAGUGAAAUCCUAUAGCUCAACUAUAGUAAGCUUUUAAAACUGCUCAUCUUGAAGUAUGGAAGGGAAAGUGGACUUCCUAGUGUAGCGGUGAAAUGCGCAGAUAUUAGGAGGACUACCGGUGGCGAAGGCGACUUUCUGGCCAUAACCUGACGCUGAGGUACGAAAGCGUGGGUAGCAAACAGG